rnacentral:lncRNA from 1 species
AAAUAUCGGUGUAUAAUAUUUAUUUACCUUAGAUAAACCUGCAUAACACUCAAUAGAAAAUUUAUCCAAAGCAUAUGAGAACAGCAAACACUUUCCAAUUCUCACAACAAUCUAAAAAAUUUAUUCUUCUCCCUAAGACAUAAUUUUAUAUAUUAAAAACUCAGCAACAACAAUGUACUUCAGAAACUUUAGUACAUCUCAAAUUUUUGUAAAGCGGCUAUGAAAAUAUUAUUCAUCCAUUCAAAACUGCAGAUCUCCAAUUCAAAGUGUCCGUAUAUCAUAGGCACUGGUUGACCGAGCCGAGCCAUAUAACCUCCAACACCAACCUUGUUCUACACUUCUAAUGUAUGUAACUUUUGGCAUGACGAUCACCAUUUGUUGAGAAUUUAUUCCCUUAAGAUUGUGUUAAUCAAUCUUAUGUCCAAAUUAAAAGCUCCAAAUCAACCUCUAACCCAACAAUGAGAAGGGCGACUUUAAUUUUUAUGUUUCUGCGUCUCUGUCACUAAACAGAGAAAAUAACUCGAUAUAAAUGGGCCAGAGAAAAAUUGUUAAAGCGAAAGCAGUUUUAAACAAAAGAGUGUUGAAAGUAAAGAGUCAUAUAUGGUAACUAAAUAAAUUUAGUUAUUAAGCCUCACAAAGUUAUUUGUAGUAUCUCGAAAGUUAUUCACAAUACAUAAUAACUGGACUUGUAUAUAAGUAAGUAAGACAAAGAUUUGAGACUUAAGUUUGUCAAAAAUAUCAUCACCUUACUUUUCUGAUUAAGCUAAGAAUAUUAGAAAAUGCAUGAUAACUAAUAUUUGUUGUUGUCUCUACACAAACUCUUUUCCAGAAUUGUUUUCCAAUAACAAAAAAAAAAAAUCAGCCUAAGGAAAAAAAGGAUCUACAAAGAGAGACGAUGAUAGAAGAAAUUAUGGAAAGGAAGAAUGUAAGUGAAAAAUUGAUCUUGCACAUCUAAAACAUAAAGUAAGUGAUAUGCUUGUAGAAAUAUAAUGAAUAAACUUCCAUAAUGUUCAUAGUAUACAUGCGAAAAACAAGUAAAAAAUAGAAGAAUCUAAUAAUAAUGAAUAUUAAUCUGGUUGUGAAAUGUAAAAAGCUAAUACAGUUCCAUAACGAGGUGCAUCUUCCUCAAAUAUAACUUUGUGCAUCUAAAUGUCCUUGAGACGGUGCAAAUAUCUAGUAAAAAAAAAGCCCCAUAUUUUAGAUAAAAUUUUAAUAAAUUAACAAAAUAGAGCCCAUAACAUAUGCAAAGAUAAAUCUUUAACGACAUGCAUGUUCCUCAAGUACAACUUUGUGCAUCUUAAUGUCCCUAAGACAGAAAAAAGAAGCAUCACAUUUUGGAUAAAACUUUAAUAAAGUAACGAAAGAUAUGGUAGAACAUAUGCAGAGAUAAUCUUUAAAUACCAAGAGGAGAAUGCUAUAACAUGAUAAAAGCCUUAAUUUCUAGUUACUUUUCCUUUGCAUUGCGUUCCACUGCCAGAAGGCAUUUAAUCGGUCAACUCUGUAGCAAGCACAAAUGAUGCAGACCAAAAAUAAAUGUGAGAAAUAAUCUAUUGAAAAAUAUUAUCUGGAGAGAACGACUAACACGCUUAUAUACCUUAUUUUGUCUUUUAUUCACUUGUUCUGUUGUCUUAUUACAUCCUAGAUGAUUUGUUAACAUAUAUAUGAAAUGCUGGUUCAAAUAAUACCUAUUACUAAAGUAGAUUAUUAUCAAAACAUGAAAUGCUAGUUCAAGAUUAUAAUACAAUUAGCAGAAAGGACUGAAACCAACUUAAGUCUCACUUAUGGGUAUUGGUUCUCUUUUGUCUCUGAGUCCUAAAAGGAUGGAGAGUAAAGAAGAAGCUCCCAACAUAUUGGCUCAUAUUCUAUAAAAUAUCACUCUGAAAAAUGAUUUAAUUAACACAUGCUGAUAACAUCUACCAUGUCAUAUAAUUUUUUAUUUAUUUAUUUGAAAAGGAGGAAACUAUAAAUUUAUUAUAUGGGUUCGAUCCACUAAACAAAAGUUGUUGAUACAUUUAUUUGAGAAUAAAUUUGUACAUUUACAUUUUUUAGCUUUGUUUCUAUGAUGGUCAGAAAAAGAAAAAAUAAAAUGAUUGUUCAUGAUCAUGUUGAUAUAUAAGGCUGGGUCAAAAAUUAAAUAUAUUACUUUCUUUUAUCCUCAAUUGCCUUCAAUAAUAUUGGUCAUCUUGAAGAAAAUGGUUAUAAUUGAUGAUUAUAAUUAAUAAACUGAUGCUUAUGAUUCCUUUUUAUCAAUUGACAUUCUGGAAAAUCUCUAUGCGAAAUAGUGAAGCUUCUAAAACACCACAAGCUAGAAAUUAAUAAUGGCAACAAGCAAUCCAAAAAUAUAUCACUCAUUGCAUGUACUUUGAAAAAGGCAAGUUUCCAUCAGAUCAUUCUAAACUCAGCUAUUUCCUAUUCUUUAUGUUGAUCUAGUUCUAAAGACUAAGACUUAAUGUUUAAUCAUACCUUACCCAAAAAGAAAAAGAAAAGAAAAAAAACUUAAUGUUUAAUCCAAGCUAAACCAAUAAAGUUACUUUGAAGGUAAACAUGCUAAAUUAAAACACCAAAAAGCACAAUCUAAUAACUAAAUUUUACAUUCACAACUUUUUCAAAAUAAAGCAAUAGAUAAUGACAAUGAAAGGAACUUACUUGAGAUGCUCCAUAGACCACCCAAUAUAUCUUGGUGAGCCUUUUAUAGCCACUACUUCAUCUUUGUAUGUCACAAACCAGCCAUGUGCAAUCCCUGAAUAUUUUUUCACAAAUGCAUAUUUAAAACUGCUAUGAGGUUUGAUAUAGUGACAUCUUAUCAGUCUAAUAUUUCUUAAAAUAAAAAAAUUUGGAACAUUAUAAUGCUAAUUUUCCUUCUACUUGUCCGAACUUGCAACUUACAUUGAACAUCACAUAGCGACCUCAAAGGCUCCACAUAUUCACUAUCACAUUCAUAUUCACACACAACUAAUACAGAAAACACAUAAUGCAAACCUUUUCUUCAUAAGGAGAAACACUAAAAUUGCAAAUUUCCCUUUACAUAUACAAUUCAAUCUAAAUCAUUGCCUAUUCGGUGAUUUCAUAACCAUUUACUUAUAAACCUCUUUCUCACCUAUUUUCGUGGUUGUUCAGUCACAUCUUUCGACCGAACAACCUUAUUUACCAUAGCACUAUCAUGCCACUUCAUAAUUUAGUGAUUCAAACCAUCUUUCUUUUUCGCAUAUAAAACAUCAAUCACUGAUUUGAAAUGAAGGCAUCUUUUAUUUUUUGUUUUUCUCUGCUUGUACAAUAUUGACCUUUUUUGAGUUUGUGGAAUAUGUAUGAAGUUGAGUUUGAAUUUAAAGGAUGUAAACCAUCUAUGCCACAAGUACAAAAUGAAAAUGCUAAAAACCAACAAAGAUUUGCAUAAGUUAUAUAGCAAAUUAUAGAGUGAUAGCCAGUCAAUGGAAUUACCAUCAGAGGAAUGCUCCAAAUGAAUCUAUAACCAGAAAUAUAUGAGCAUGUGUACUCAAAAAGGUAAAUGCUUAGCCACUACUCAGUGUAACUAUCCUGAAGCAAAUGCAAUACCUAUCUAGUAGCAAUUCAAAGGCCAUUUUUUCUUGGUCCAGGAGAAUUAUUGAGGCCACUAACUUACAUUUAUCAAUUUUCUGGUUCAAGUGAGGAUGAAAUCAACAAAUAUAUGAUCACUAAAUAGUAAUAGAUCCACUAAGUAUUUUGUACAUGGCAUAUAACAUACAAAAUCGGAUGAAGAGCCUCAUUCAAUAAAAGAACACUGAGUACUUUGUAAAAAUACCCCAAUCGUUUAAACCUAUAUCAAUGAAAUAAUAUUUAUCAAAAUACAUGUGACAGAAGAUUUUGCCUUUCUUUUUAUUACAACCAUUGCUAGCACACGCAAACUAAUAGAAUGUGAAGUGAUGUUUGAGGAGAAAUACUCUGCUUCUCUGCUUAACACCUUUCUUCAUUCGUCUUUUAUCCUUUUGUGUGUUAUACCAGUGAAUCAUUGAAAAGUUUCUUAUCAUCAUUCAAUUUAAUUUUUUUGGCGAAAAGUCAAAAUCGUGUACCAAAUUUCAUCUACCAAAUUAAUUUGGUUAUAGUAAAAUUCUAUUCGAAUUUCAAAUAGAAGAUAAAUCAAAUAUGUAAAACGGAGAAGAAAGAACUUGUUUUCUAUUUGACAACCUUAAGAUUUCAUGCCUACAACCACCAAUUGAGACGUCUUCUUUCGCAAUCUGUCAUUGGCAUUGUUGGUUCUUCGAUAUAUUCAUCAUUUGUACAAAUCUCCUGCCGUUCAUAUCAAUGAAAAUAGUAGAACAAACUCUGGUUCUUCUAUCUGGUCAUCUUGAUGAAAUUAGAGGAGUUUUAAACUUCUCCAGAGAAGAGAGAAACUGAUCUCUACAGCAGUUUUGCUAUGUUAAUUUGUUAUCUUUUUUGUGCGCUUGAUUUUGCAAUUUCGUGGGAUCAUGGGGGAGUGUGGUUCUUAUCUUUUAAUUU